ACAUGCAACUCUCGCAGACAGCUCAGUUUCAAUGGUGGAGCUGCACAGGAGCAGCCUGGUGCAGCAAUUAAGAAAGUUAGUGAGGAGAGAGAGAGAGAGAGAAAGCGCGCACAUGGUUUGGUGUGUAUUCAGGAUGACUUUUAUUCCGCAGUGCAAAAGUUUGAUAGUGAAAGAAAAUAUGUCAGACCGAGGUGGUGCAGAUUCGUGCCCUCGCAAAUGUUGGCUGAGGUUAAAAAAAAAAAGACAGAAAAAGAAAAAGACGUGCUAAGUGUGCGCCUAACCGCCUGUGAUGUUGGACCGUGUAUACUGUGGUCGACAGCUGUGGAAAAAGCGGAUGGGGUUUGCUUAGUUAUCACACUCCACUGACGAGGACAAUGAAGUAUGGUUGACAGCUCAGAGAAAUUCUACACAUCAUCAGUGGAUUCUUUCAACUGCCAGAUCAUUUCCAGAGGGUGAUCGUUUGAAACCCCGCCCCUUGGGAAUGGGAGUUUAGACUGUCUGAUGAAGAGAAGAUGAAGAGGAGGAUGAAGAGUGACAAACCGCUCUACACUCAGCUGUCCACGCAUAUUGUUGCCAAGAGAUGAGAAACCUCCACAUGGCUGCUGGAUCGAGAGUGAAUCACCUGAAAGGAAGAGAAUAAGAAAGACAACAAAGAUUGAACAUGAAGGAGAUAAAAGUCACAUGAAGUGUUGAGAGUUCAGUUGGCGAGGAGAACUUACUGCUGCCAAGAAAAACUGCAUCUCAUCGCCUCAUGAUUCGACAAUCUUCCGCUCUAUCAACACAUCAAAAACUUUUCCACAUGCUUCGAGUCGCUGGGUGCCACCAAACCUCUGCCAAACCUUAGAGGGCUAAAGCACAGCGCUAUCAGGAUGAUUUCCACCACAUUCAUCCAUCCUGACAACCGGAGGGAAACCACCUGAGAAAAGCUCAAAUGUUAAGAUAUUGCUGAGUCAGUCUGGGGUCAUGACAUCAUCAUCAUGAGAUGGGGAUGGGGGCUGGUGAGCGGUGACCGCAGGCGGCAA